AUACGGAGGAUCCGAGCGUUAUCCGGAUUUAUUGGGUUUAAAGGGUGCGCAGGCGGGAGAUUAAGUCGGCGGUGAAAUUUUUCAGCUCAACUGUAAAAGUGCCUUCGAAACUGGUUUCCUUGAGUGUAGAUGAAGUAGGCGGAAUUUGUGGUGUAGCGGUGAAAUGCAUAGAUAUCACGAGGAACUCCGAUUGCGCAGGCAGCUUACUAAACUACUACUGACGCUCAGGCACGAAGGCGUGGGGAUCAAACAGGAUUAGAUACCCGGGUAGUCCACGCAGUAAACGAUGAUUACUAGCUGUUUGCGAUACAAUGUAAGCGGCUGAGCGAAAGCGUUAAGUAAUCCACCUGGGGAGUACGGUCGUAAGAAUGAAACUCAAAGGAAUUGACGGGG
rnacentral:rRNA from 1 species